rnacentral:rRNA from 1 species
UACGUAGGGGGCAAGCGUUGUCCGGAAUUAUUGGGCGUAAAGAGCGUGUGGGCGGCCGGAUAGGUCCGCUGUGAAAUCUCGAGGCUCAACUUCGAGCUGUCGGUGGAAACUAUCUGGCUAGAGUCCGGAAGAGGAGAAUGGAAUUCCUGGUGUAGCGGUGAAAUGCGCAGAUAUCAGGAAGAACACCCGUGGCGAAGGCGGUUCUCUGGGACGGUACUGACGCUGAGACGCGAAAGCGUGGGGAGCGAACAGG